UAGGGAAUCUUCGGCAAUGGACGAAAGUCUGACCGAGCAACGCCGCGUGAGUGAAGAAGGUUUUCGGAUCGUAAAACUCUGUUGUUAGAGAAGAACAAGGACGUUAGUAACUGAACGUCCCCUGACGGUAUCUAACCAGAAAGCCACGGCUAACUACGUGCCAGCAGCCGCGGUAAUACGUAGGUGGCAAGCGUUGUCCGGAUUUAUUGGGCGUAAAGCGAGCGCAGGCGGUUUCUUAAGUCUGAUGUGAAAGCCCCCGGCUCAACCGGGGAGGGUCAUUGGGAGCUGGGAGACUUGAGUGCAGAAGAGGAGAGUGGAAUUCCAUGUGUAGCGGUGAAAUGCGUAGAGAUAUGGAGGAACACCAGUAGCGAAGGAGGCUCUCUGGUCUGUAACUGACGCUGAGGCUCGAAAGCGUGGGGAGCAAACAGG
rnacentral:rRNA from 1 species